GAAAUAAUCUGUCUUAAAUUAAGAUAUUGAAUUUAACUUUUGAGUGAAAAGGCUUAAAUAAUCUGAAGGGACGAUAAGACCCUAUAAAACUUUAUAUUUAUAAUGUAGUAGCUAAUUUUAUUUGAGAUUAUUAUUUUAGAGUAUUUGGUUGGGGUGACAAGGAUAAAAUAUAAAAUAACUGUCUUUUUUUUUAACAGUAAUGUUUGGGUUAAUGAUCCUAGAAGGGAUAAAAGAUUAAGUUACUUUAGGGAUAACAGCGUAAUUUUCUUUAAGAGUUCUUAUCGACAAGAAAGUUUGCGACCUCGAUGUUGAAUUAAAAGUUCUUUAUAGAGUAGAGACUAUAAUAGAAGGUCUGUUCGACCUUUAAAAUUUUACAUGAUUUGAGUUCAGACCGGUGUAAGCCAGGUUGG
rnacentral:rRNA from 1 species